GACGAACGCUGGCGGCGUGCUUAACACAUGCAAGUCGAACGGAAAGGCCCCUUUGGGGGUACUCGAGUGGCGAACGGGUGAGUAACACGUGAGUAACCUGCCCUUGACUUCGGGAUAACUUCAGGAAACUGGGGCUAAUACCGGAUAGGAAUCCUUGCUGCAUGGUGGGGGGUGGAAAGCUUCGGGGGUUUUGGAUGGACUCGCGGCUUAUCAGCUUGUUGGUGGGGUAGUGGCUUACCAAGGCUUUGACGGGUAGCCGGCCUGAGAGGGCGACCGGCCACAUUGGGACUGGGAUACGGCCCAGGCUCCUACGGGAGGCAGCAGUGGGGAAUAUUGCACAAUGGGCGGAAGCCUGAUGCAGCAACGCCGCGUGGGGGAUGACGGCCUUCGGGUUGUAAACCGCUUUCAGCAGGGGCGAAGCUUGUGGUGACGGUACCUGCAGAAGAAGCACCGGCUAACUACGUG
rnacentral:rRNA from 1 species